GAGUGCAGUCUUACAACAUUUGCCUGGGGCAGGAGACAGAGAAAGAAAAAAACAGUGGAUUUCCUCCUCUCUCUCCAUUCCUCAGGGGCCCCUUUCCUGGUCUUGUGACCAUAGAGGGAUGGUUUCUCCUGGGCACUUCUCCCUAUAUGCCUGCUGAGCAGUUCUGGGAUUUGGGUGUCCUGAGUCUAAGCUGGGAGAUGUGGGAGGAAAGAAAAGCUGGUGAACUCAUUGCCACCUCCAUGUUUCUCUGAAUGUUAUCUCUCUCUCCAUCUGCUUGCCGUGGUUUUCUUUCUAGACACCUCUGAUGAUUGCUGCAUGUAUUCUGCCCAGGGUUUUUGGCUGUGAUCACUGGGAGAGAUAGAAGGGACUGUAUUUGCUCCAUCUUACCCAGCUCUGCAAACCUGCUGGAGAGUUUAAUUGGCAUAUGACUUCUAUCCUCAAAGUCACAAGAUGGCUGCUGGAGUUCCAGUCAGGAUGUCUGUACAGCACAGUGGAUUGAAGAGGGGGGCAGUGCUGAGUCAUUCACGUGGUGUGUGAGGGCUCCUGUUUGUAAAUCAGGGAUUCUUGCAGCCUGCUUUUUCAGGGACAUUGGCUGCUGUCUUCUGACCCACCCUGUGUGGCUUUGGCGUCUCCUGUGACCUCCCAGUAUGGGUCUUGGCCUCAUCCUGCCUCUUUGUCUUUCUGGCCCACCACCCACAGCUUGAAUCUCAGGCUCCAACAGUUGCCUGACCCCCAGAUUCUGAUGACAGCCUACCUACUUGUUCUUCAGGCCCUCACCAGACUCACUGCCCAGACACACCACACAGGAGAACAUGAAAGGGUGAAUGAAUCUUUCAUCAUUUGAUGACCAAGUUGGCAUUCUUUUACAUUCCAGCCACCAGAGGAAGGUGUAUUUUAACACAAUUGCCCUCACAUCCUCCUUAACAGGAUUUACAUAAGUUUAUUAACACAUAUGUUUCUACAAAAUCAAGUUUUGAGAACCAUUUUUAUACACUGAUCUGGGACAUUUUGGGGAUAUGAAAUUAACUUUAGCACACACAGCAAGAAGAAAACCGAACAACAAAUUCUACAAACACCAAAUUUGCUGUGAAAUUUACAUUUCAGAAUCUCUCAAGAAAUAGUGCCCAGCAGCAAUUCUUACUGUUUUCACUUUUUCCCCCGUCUUCACAUUUUUAUGUUUGACAGUGCCAACAUAUUUUCUCAACAUUUAUUCUGAAAGGAAUGUACUUUGUGAAUUCCUUAAAUGCAGGAUGAUUCUGAUUUUAUUGGCCUAAUAGCUCCUCCUUAUGCGUGGGUUAGUAUAACAGAAUGCAUUUGAGACCUGCUAUACUAUUUUAAAUUAAGACAUUUCAUGUAGCACAUAGUAUUUUAAAAUGAAGAACAUUGUCUUGGAAAGCACACAGGCUAACUGCUAUUUUCUUGAUGCAAGAAAUAUUUAAAUUCUCUGUGCUUCAGUCUAUACAAUCAGUUUUCCAGGGAUGCUGUGUAUAUAAAACGAGGGAGUGUAUUAAGAGUAUCAGCAUGUAGUAGGUCCUUCAACAGAAGCUGGAGGUUCUGGCUCAAGGUCUGGCUUGUGUUCAAUGAACACCAAACCACAUAAUUGCCC
rnacentral:lncRNA from 10 species